AUUUCACCAUCUGUAACAUCCAGCACCAUGUCUCAAUCUCCGUCAGAAGCAAACAAAGAAGCAUACAAGAUCCUCAUCUACAGAAAGUUCUGCGGCUUGAUCUAGAUGUGGUUGGGUUUGGGGGUCUCGAUCUGGGUAUGCGCCUGGUUUGGAGUGGCUGGGUUGGGGUGUGGGGUUGUUGUUUUCUGGGUUUAUGGUGAAUAAGGGAAAAUAGAGAACAUUUUAUGGGUAAUUUUUUUCUGCUUGAGUUCGCUUCUGGGUAAGGAAUGGAUGAGAACUGCUGAUGAAGAUGAGUAUGAAGAGCAAGAAGGAGAGUACGAGCAACAUGAUAUGUGAUUUUGAUGAAGAUGGAUAACAUGCUGCAACUUCCUGUUGCCAGUUCUUACUCUUGUUCCUGUAACCCGUUUUACACUUUUGUUCUUGCUACCAUUCUAUCAAACUAUUUCUGAUUUCUAUUUUUGUUUCUAGUAUGACAAUAUUGCUCAAACAAUUUGUACUAUUUUAAUCUGCUUGAACAUUUUCUGGGUUUAUGCCACUGUGAUUUGCAAGCUAAAUGUGUUUCUUGGGUUGGGAAUUUUUCUGGGUUUGGGAUUUUGUUUUAUGGGUUUGAUUGAUGAUUGGGGGGUGGGGAACUAAUUAAAUGAGUGUUUUAAUUAAUUAGGUGAGGAAUUAGUUUAGGUAAUUGAGUUAAUUUAAAAAAAAAAAAUUAAUUAACACCUGGCCUCAUUAAUCCCACAUGGCAAGGCCACAUGGGUCACCGGAGCUCCGGAGGGAUGAAAAACCAAAUUUUGUGGCAAAGGUUAGGGAUUAAAACCCACUUUUAUUCCGGCGAGGGACUAAAACCAAGCAUUUGGUAAAGGUUAGGGACCAAAAACUUAUUUAAGCCUUUUUUAAAUCACACAAUUUUCGUCCUCAGUGCAAUCCAUGCUCCCUCAUUCAAAUCGGCCAAAUCUUCUGAAACAUCCCGUUUAAAAUAAAAAAAAAAUAUAUAUAAAAGGAACCGGUUAAUAAAAAAAUAAAUAAAUAGAUAUAUGUAUAUAUAACAAACCAAACAAAAAACAAACCGUAACCCCACUCCCAAUACCAUUCUUAAUUCCUAAUUAUAUAUUAAAACCCUAUGUUUUUCUCUCCCUCUCUCAUCUUUUUCCUUUUCCUCUGGUUCAACUUCUUUUCUCGGCACCAGCGAUUCUUCUCUUCUCCUCUACAUCCUUUUCUUCUUUAGUUAAGAACCACACAAUACCACCAUAAAGUUACAUGCUAGUGAAGAUAAAAUCUAUCAUUCAAGUGAGAGUCUCUUGCGUUCUCUUUUGGGAGCCACGGUUGGUGCUUUGAUGAAGGAGAAUGGUACCAAGCCCUUUAUGAUUCCUCUUUUAAAUUAAUUGAGAUCUGUCGGUUAGUGGUUUGUUUGGUUGUCGCGCAGUUGUGGAGAGCAAUCAUGUUGGUUCUUCGUAACAGAAACUGAGUACCAGUAUGUUAUCAGAUUCAGAUCGUUCUGCUUAUAUUGUUUAUAGGCCUCAUUUGAAAGGUUGUCAUAUUUGUGUCUGUUGUUGAUCUGUCAUUCUGCAGCUAUAGGGGAGUCUUUGGGGGAAUUCAGUUUGAAUUGUUAUUUAUUGUUCUAAUUUAAGGAUUUGCAAUUUAGUGCUGGAUUUGAAAUUUAUGUAUUCUUGAAAUUCUAGUUACGAAUGGAGAUGGUGAUAUUACAUAAAAGAUUCUUAUGGAUUUAUUUUUUAUAAAUUAUACUAAACAUGUACAAUUUUGGAAAAUUAUUUUGGGAAGUGAGUUUUGUUAAAUAGGCUUGCCAGGCUAAGGUGGUAGUCUGUGCGCCGGUCACGGCUUGGGAUUUUGGGUCUUGACAUCUUCCCUACCUAACUAUGUCCACAGAAACAGCACCACUCCACCACUGAAACCUACCUCAGCACCUCCAUGUUGUCACCCAUUUUCUCAUACCCACAAUCUCUAUUCCCACAAUAUCCUAUCACUUUAUAUGGUUCAUGCUUGUAUAGGGGUGUGUUCAUGGUUUGGUUAUUUUAAACAGAAGAGACCAAAGAACAAGAAAAAAACUAAGGAAUUCAACAGAAGGAUAGAAAACUAGAUUUACUAUCAGAGAAGAUUUGGUUAAUAACUCUAGUACUCUACCACCUGGUAGUUAUUUUAUGGACUAUAUAAGAAAUAAUCUUAAAGAGCUAAUCUUAGUAAUCCAGUAAAAAAACAGAGUUGAUAGCAAUUUUAGCAGGACAUAUUGGUAAUAUUAAGCACUAAAUUGACAGAUGAAGGUGUUACUUACCCUGAUGCUUUCAUGAAAAUGCAGUGGAAGUUACUUGGAGUAACUUACAUGUAACCAUAACAUAUUUGGGUAAAUAGCCAAGUUCGUCCCUAAAUGUGUCCACCGACUUCAACUUCGUCCCUAAACUUUAAAAAUGUCGCUCGUGGUCCCUGAAAGUGGCAAAUCUCCCUCAUCAGUAGUCCCUGAGUUAAAAAAAGUGACGGAUGUUAACGGAAGUAGUGAUGUGAAAUUUUUUUUUCCAUCCGGGAGUGCUGACGUGGAAAUUACUUGUUUUCUAUCCAAAAAUGAAAUUCACAGGACACAUGUCAGACGCUGAUAGGCUCAAAUGGUGGUCAAAUUGGUCCCUACCCAACCUUCAUCUUCUUCCUCCUAACCCAACCUUCAAAAUAAGAAACCCAAUACCAUUGAAGCAACACCAAGCACGACCACCACCAAAUCCCCCCUCUCACCCAACACCACCACCACCACCGAAACCCACUUCCACCAACACCUCAAAAAAUUGGGGAAAAACCCUCCCAAACACCCCCCUCCAAAUUUCCAUAAAAUUUUCAACGAAAUCAGAACAAAAUCAAUCGAACCAACACCAAAUAAAUUAAGAAGAGAGUGUAUGUAGAAAAGGGAAUACAAAUCAAUGGCCACGGUUUUAUCUUCUCCUAUAACCAAAGAAAAAAAAACACGAUCUGGAAACCAGUGUGUGACUUGUGUGAAUCAAACAUCACAAGAAAGAAACCCAGAAUUUUAUAGGUUAAACAAAAUGCAAAAAUUGAAAAUUCAAUGAUUUUUUUUAAUGAAAUGGGUUUCUCGAUAAAAACAGAGAAGAUUGAAAGAUGACAAACACAAAGAAAUUUUACCUUCACUGAGCUGGAGGAGAUCAACUCCCACAAUCUCAAGACAACAAGGAAUCCGACGAAGAACGAGAAAGAAGGAUGUCAUUGGAAGAAAUCAAGCUCCUCCAGAAGCAGAUGGAAAGAAAAUUGGCCAAGACAAGCGCAGAUGGAGAAGAUGGAAUCAGAAGAGCAGAGAUGUCGGUGGAGAACCAAACCGCGUCUUCUUUCUUCUUCUCCUUCUUGGUUUUGUGAUUUUGGGUUGAAGAUUUUGAUUUUUGGAAGGGAAAAAGGGUCGGGGUGAAGGACAGCGUGAGAUGGAGGAGAUGAGGGUGGGUAGAAGAAGAAGGAUGAAGAAGAUGGAGAUGGGGAGAGGGUGAUGGUGGUGGGGAGAGGUAGAGGAAGAUGGGGAGAAAAAGAAUUUUUUUCAACUACAAGGACUAAAUUGAAGUUUUUAAAACAUUCCCAACACUCAAAUGCCACAUAAGCUUCAACCUUUAACAAAAAAAAAUUACAACUCAGCCUUCCGUUAACGUCCGUGACUUUUUUUUAACCAGGGACUGCUGAUGAGGGAGAUUUGCCACUUCCAAGGACCACGGGCGACAUUUUUAAAGUUUAGGGACGAAAUUGAAGGCGGUGGACACAUUCAGGGACGAACUUGGCUGUUUACCCUAACAUAUUUUCAUUAACGAUCAACUUCCCUAAAAUAACAUCAUCAUAAGGAAAAAUCAGUAAAUAUAAAAGGUGUGGCUGAAAGGAUUCUAAAAUCUUACUUACUUUUGACACUCAAAUCCAUACUUACAGCUCUCAAAAAUCUUCAGUGACUAGUAAAAGAAGCAUCCUCGUUGGCAAAAUAUGCAAACAAAUUAAGUACAAGUUCUUAAAAACAUGGAGGUGAUAUGCACACACUGACACAGAACUCGUAAUAACUUAGUGGAGCCGUCUUUGAUGACAUGCCAGUACUCUAUUAAAAACCUUAAACUUAAGUUUGAAGUGCUAGGUGUAGGCCAUUUAUGUUUUUAACUCUAACCACUAGACUACACUAUACUCUAUUUGUGGCAAUAUGACUCUACCUUCCAUACUCUUCCGGCCCUUUUGUUAUUUUUUAAUCUAUUUCUCAAGUUAGAAUUAUAUAUCAAAUUGUUUCUCAAGUAGAUAUAUGACAAUAUAACUACCUUCCAGCUAUUCUUGCACAGUCAUAGAAAUUCAUGUUCGCACUUCCCAAUGUAGCAUCAAUAUGUUUUUCCAGUUUACCACCCUGCAUUUCCAAAACAAAAUGCUCAGGCUCAACUUAUCUACUACUUCUUAAUCUUCCACUAGUGUAGCUAAAUAACCGCCAAUUACACAUCAACACGUGUCCUGCUUUUACUUACUUUUGUUUUUUAUUUUUUUUUUCAACUCGAAAAAGCAAAAACGACGUUGUUUUCCUUCCACACUGUUCAUCACCGUCUCUGAUCAACUCGCGUGUGUUCUCUCCCUCUCUACCUACUCCGCCGUACCGGUCAUCUCCUGCUGAUUUCGAGUUUUCUUCCUCACAGCCUUCCCUUCAUUCACAUCAAUCUCAAACCCUAGGUGUGCUUCUGUGUUAGCCUUCCUCUCUCAACCUACUUCUCACCAAUUGAUCUGAUGAGGAAUUGCUUUCGGUCGCCGCUUGAUGUGUGUUUGAAGCCAACGUUGCCACCGAUUAUGGUAGAACCAAUCCUGGAUCGACACCUUAAAUGGUCCACUGUUCAUUCGUCAUCGUCCCUCACGAGAACCCCAACUACUAUGGCUGAAUGCAUCAGCAGAGGUUGAAUACUCUAUCAAAUGGUCAGUUUCAAUCUCAAUUCUCAUUCAUUUUAUUCAUUUUUUUUGAUAUAUUUCGUACAAAUCCAAUGUGUUAAAAGAGAUUUCUCUGUCAGUAUAGUGAAGUCUGAUGUUGUCAGCUCACUUUCAAAUUUUGGCUAUAAGUACCCCAUGUUGUGAACUCUCAUUCUCACCAUUUCCAUAUCCCAAUCUUUCUCCUUGAAACCCCCUCUUAAAAAGGCAUAAAUUUUUAGACUUCUUUCUUCUUUGGUUGGAACCUCCUGACACCGUUGUUUUUAAUUUCAUCUGGCUUGCAUAAGCAAGGUAAUCCUGAAUCUUAAAUAUUUCCAUGAAUAUCCCCCAGGUAAGGUCUCAAUCUUAACUCCAUGUUUUUAUUUCAUUGAUUCAUUGUUCUGGCGCAUGUCAAAGUGUUCUUCUUUCAUUUCAGUGAAGGUUAAGGAAGAUGCUGAUGCUGUUGUUGAUAGUAAAAUCCUACCCUAAAAAAGAGAACAAAUUAAUUUGUGCACUUGAGCAAGAACUUCUUUAAGAACUGCAAGUAUUGUCACUAUUAUGUUCAUAAUUCUGUUAAUUUAAUUUGGUUAUUUCUCAUGUCAGCCAUUAUUUAACUAAUAGCUUCACAGUAGAUAAAUUUGAAAUUGGUUGUUCAACAGGCAUUCUACUAUGACGGAAAGGCUAUCAUGUUAGUUGAGGAAUUUGUUAAUAUCAUGGAAAAACUAAUGUGGGAAGGGAGCAUAGUUGCAAUGCUAAGUAUGGACCUGAAACUGUAAUGAUACAUACAUAAUUUCUUGGUAACCUGAAAUGGCUAUGGGCUAUGUGCUUGGAAAACCAAUCAUGAGACAUGAAGGUCAUGCUGAUUUGAAACAGAGCAUAAAGGACUUAAUUUUCCUAUUAGCAUGAGGGGGGAUUUGAAUAAAGGGUCCCAUUUGUGUGUUUUGUAAUGUGUUGAUAAAUCUUUCUCUAUUGAUUACAUUCCCUUUCAGCUAUAUUUAAAAGACUUGGUAGUAUCAUUUUCAUUUUUAUCUUA